GACGAACGCUGGCGGCGUGCUUAACACAUGCAAGUCGAACGGAAAGGCCCUGCUUUUGUGGGGUGCUCGAGUGGCGAACGGGUGAGUAACACGUGAGUAACCUGCCCUUGACUUUGGGAUAACUUCAGGAAACUGGGGCUAAUACCGGAUAGGAGCUCCUGCUGCAUGGUGGGGGUUGGAAAGUUUCGGCGGUUGGGGAUGGACUCGCGGCUUAGCAGCUUGUUGGUGGGGUAGUGGCUUACCAAGGCUUUGACGGGUAGCCGGCCUGAGAGGGUGAACGGCCACAAUGGGACUGAGGUACGGACCAGACUCCAACGGGGGGCAGCAGCGGGGAAUAUUGCACAAUGGGCGGAAGCCUGAUGCAGAAACGCCGCGUGCGGGAUGACGGCCUUCGGGUUGUAAACCGCUUUCGCCUGUGACGAAGCGUGAGUGACGGUAAUGGGUAAAGAAGCACCGGCUAACUACGUG
rnacentral:rRNA from 1 species